CAGCCGCCCAAGCCACCGCUGCGGACCCAGGCAUCCCUGUGCUCUCUGGGCUGGGGAGCAGGCCCACAGAAGCCCGAGUCUCAGCCAGAGCAGAGCAGAGGAUGGAGAGACAACUAGCUGCAGAGAGGAACUACCCUCUCUACUGAUAGCUGAACACUUGUCAGGACGAGCAGCUGCAGAGAGGAGCUACCCUUUCUGCUGAGAACUGAACACUUGUUGGGACGACCUGCCUGCAGAGAGGAGCUACCUUCUCUGCUAGGAGCUGAACACUCAUCGGGACUUUGUGGUUACAGAGAGGAGCUGCCCACUAUGGGUCUUCUCUAAGCUGUUCUAUUGCUCAAUAAAUCUCCUCUUCAUCUUGC
rnacentral:lncRNA from 1 species